rnacentral:lncRNA from 1 species
AUGUCCUUUCGAAAGCCACCUCCUCCCACAAACUCCCCUGAUCCCCCUAAAUCAGCCUUAUCAACCGGCUGCUCUCACAUAACUCUGUUCUAUCUUCCUCAGAGCAUCGGGACCCUCAUCACGUUAUUCGUUCAUUCAUUUACUCUCUCUGUCCUCUAUGACCCUUUGUUCACAGGCGUUACUCUAAAAUGUACCCAGGACUCUGGUUUCACUCAGCGAAGGGGAGGUCAACAGGUCAGCAGGCCACCACAGCUGAAGGACCGGAGAACAAGAUGAGACUAUUAUCUUUUCAAAAAAUCAAAAAAGGAAAAACAAUUUCCGCCUUCCCAGCCUUCAUGAAUGAAAUAAUGAAAUGCUUUAUGUAAAUUGGACUUGUAGAGAAUGGAAAUCCCAGACAACAAAAUAUUUAAAACAUCACUUCCUACUUCCACUUUGAAAGCUUGUCAGGUUAGAAAUGGGUAAUUACAUUACUCCCCUCUUGAGCUGCCUCACUCCGUGGUUACCAUUUUAACAGUGUAUGAAUCCCAAUUUCAAAGUUGGGUCUUCAAAUGAUCAUUUAUUCUGUCUGGACAGCUACUGGUUGUCAAGUUCAUUGACGAUGAUCAGUUUAGAAAACAUGCACCGGCCUUCUUGAAAUUGGAUAGGAGUAAUUUAUACUACCAAACUUAGGCAUUUCUAACAAUGUAGUAACUUUCAAUGAUUCUUGAAAAUAAUCCAUAGGGACUAUCACCAAAUAUAAAUGCAAUUAUAAAUCUCAGUCUGCGUUUGGGUGCAAUACUUUAAUCUGAUCACUUCUUAUUUACCAGAGAUAAAGAGAAAACAUACUUCCAGGAAUUAUAACAUCUUCAUGCUGGACCACAUUUAUUCAAAAGAAUAGAAUUUUACCAUGUUCAAGUAAACAUGGGGGACAGAGAGAUCAAUAACUCAUGGGCAGCAACUUGGAAAAAGAGAUGCUUUGUCUAGUAAAAAAAAUUUUUUAAAGUUCAAGUGCCCAUCUUUAUAGUCUGCCUGAAAUUACAGUUAAGAACCAUAAAAGAAGUAUUAAUGAUGUGUUCUGCAAGGAAGAUGGCAUUGUUUACAACUGAAAAAGCUUCGGAGGGGAGCCAUCAUUUCACCUGGAUCUCAAAAUACUUGUAGAAUUAUGAUAAGACAUAACAAGGAUGGAUACUAGGGGUGCAGAUAGCUUGAACAAAGGCAAGACGACAGAAGUGCAGAGAUGCUGACAAAAGGAUUCAAAAGAUAAACUGCAGAAGGCUGUACAGCUGAGAAUCUGUUACUGAAAUGGUGUUUUUAAAAUCUAAUCACGUGAUAACCAAAGUAUUAACCUGCUAUUAUCUAGAAUACUGAUUACUUAAAAAUUAUAGAAAAGAGUCACAGAAAAUUAGUGUAGUUUCUUUUCUGAGAGUUAGCUGGAAACAAUGCUUAUUUUGUUGUUUUAAUAACUAGAAAAUGUGUAUGACCACUGUUUUUAUGGGGACGGUUGGCCAAGAGAAAGCCAGACUCUUGUGACAAAUGUGGUGGUGGUGAUCCUGGUUAACUACUCAGAAUUACAGUUGUUACUCUCCCGAUUAAUGGCAGUGACCCCAUUUUAACAACUGGCUCUGUCUCAUAAAGAGCCUCAUUGGACUAACGGCAUAAUCUUUCAACUCGGCAGUGAUACGUUGAGGAAGAAGAUGUGAAAAAGAUGGGAGAUACGGUGUUCUGAAGUGUUCUGGAAGAGCUCUUGCCCCUAAGUGAAGAACCAGGAAGCCUCCCUUUUUCAACUAUAGCAGGGAUGUUGCAGGCUCAGCUGCUGCCCAACCACCAUGUCUCAUAUUGUAACGAAGGACAAAUUAGCCUUAAGUCACCAUUUUAGACUUAAAAGAAGAAAAAAAUGGAGGCCUUGAUCACAAAGUGAACUGCUAAAUGAGCCUACUUCAACUUUCCAUGACUUAUGACUUCAACUUAUAUGAGAAACUUUUUCAGGGCAGAGUUCCCUUAUUGAUAUGGCCAAUUAGAUUGAAAUUUUCCAUUCUUAAUUUUGAAAUCAUUCAUCAUUUUUAGGUUUAAAUCACUGUUACUGGAAAAACCACAAAGACAAGACUAGUAUCACUUAAAAUGUACAACAAACAAGCAGACAAAAAACCCUGACUAUAAAGAAGAAUGAGAAUAUACAUAAUUGCCAAUGUUCCCAUUAACUGCAGAGAAGGUGAGAUAAAAAUGCAACUAGCACCUGCCAGAAGCAGGUGGCUGCAGGCUUCAUCUUUAUCUGUAUUGUGACAAUAUUUCACUUGAUCUUUCUCCACAUAGUUUUAUUUAAAGAAUUAAAAUAUUUUCAAUCUAGGUGGUGGACACACGAUUGAGUCUUAUUUUACCAUUCUCAUGGUCAAAUGUGCUAGUCAUGAGGCAUAUGUGGCUCUCAAGAUUAUAAAAUAGAACUAAUUCAAAGUGAAAUCAAUUAAAUGUAUAAAAUACACAUUGGAUUUCAAAGAUUCAUACAAAAAACCCCAUAAAUAUAAAACAUCCCAAUAACCAUAUGGUGAUUACAUGCCAAAUUCCAUUCUAUUUUUAAUAUAUUGGAGUCAAUAAAAUAUUGUUCUAAAAUAAUUUCA